CCCAGCUGUAGAAAACUGUCUAGGUUAUCUUGUACCAAGGCAAGAGUUAUACUGCUGGGAAAAAAGCAGCCACUAGAUGGUACGCAUUCUGGGCCUGGUUAAUGCCAAAUUUGUGCUAACUAUGCCAAUGUGCCAACAUA
rnacentral:snoRNA from 1 species